rnacentral:rRNA from 1 species
UACGAAGGGGGCUAGCGUUGCUCGGAAUCACUGGGCGUAAAGCGCACGUAGGCGGAUCCUUAAGUCGGGGGUGAAAUCCUGGAGCUCAACUCCAGAACUGCCUUCGAUACUGAGGAUCUCGAGUCCGGGAGAGGUGAGUGGAACUGCGAGUGAGAGUGAAAUCGUAGAUAUCGCAAGAACACCAGUGGCGAAGGCGGCUCACUGGCCCGGUACUGACGCUGAGGUGCGAAAGCGUGGGAGCAA